CUUGAGCUGGCAGAUAAAGUGCAUUGAAUUUAAGAUUCAAAAAUGAAUGUUUAUUCGCUUAAGA
rnacentral:tRNA from 1 species